rnacentral:lncRNA from 1 species
GAUCAAAGUUCUUUAUAUGAACGAAUGGUAUAUGACUGUUCAUCGAAGGUAUGAAUAGGAAUAUUUUAUAGAUAUAGGAAGAUGUGGUAUGAGUGUCAAGGAGACAACUCUCCAUCCAAGUCACAAUUUAUAAAAGUAAACCAUUAAAGGUCAAGGUACGGUCUUCAACACGGAGCCUAUGCUCACACCGAACAGCAAGCUAUAGAGGGCCCAAAAAACAAUUCAAACGAAAAAACCAAAGGUCUAAUCUAUAUAAAAAACGAAAAACGCAUAUGAAACACAUAAACAAACGAUAACCACUGAGCAUCAGAUUCCUGAAUUAGGAUAAGUGCAAAUAAUUGCAUCUGGAUUAAACGUUUUAAUGGUACCAAACCUUCUCCCUUUUCUGAAACAGCGAUAUAACAUCAUAGCAUAGAAAGUCAUACUAUAAAAUAUCAAUUAGAAUGACUUAACUCCAUCCAAAAACGAAGUGACAAUAAGAAACACAC